UCCGUUCCCUGCGCUCUGGCUCCUCCUGCUUCUCUCUCUCUGCUCUCUCGGCUUGUGUUGUUUGGACUGGGCCUCUGCGUGGCGACUGCUGGGCUGGUGUGGGGAUGCUGAAUUGCUGCGAGUAGAGGAACGUGGACUUGGAAGUUGACUCCCUCGUGGCAGGGGAGGAAGGAAGUGCGAAAUUCGGUACAGUUUUGGACGGCUUUGCAAUUUGCGCAUCGAGGGAAUGCCUUUUCUUCAUAAUUUUGUUAUUUACGCUGGAGACUGCUAUUUUUUUUACUGAUUCAUGGGAGAAUUCGCAGUUUAGCAAAGUCUGCUUUGUCGAUUAUUGAGCCCACCACCACGCGAUUUUUCUUAUGCAUGCGAAAUUGCAUCUGCGAAAUGGGGGGAGUAUGUAAUUAUGGAUCUGGAAAACUGAUUUCUGUCUUAUUAGUAACCACGGUGCCUUCCAAUGUGAAAUUUCCAAGUAAAUUGUCUGGGUUAGCCAUCUGUUGUUUUCAUGCAUGCAAACGGGAUCUGUGGAAUUUGGGGUUGGAGGAUGUAUGGUUGCGGAUCUGUAAACUGAUAUUUGUCCAUUUGGUAACUGCAGUGCAUUCCUUUGUAAAUUUUGUAUGUUUUGGUGAAAUAUUGAUUAUAUUAUGAAAAUGGAGGAUCUAUGCAUAUGGUGCUACGUUAGGAUUGUAUAAUUAUUGCGAAUUAAAUCAUCAUAGAAAUAGACUUAUUCAUGUGAAAUUAUGAAUAGGAAAAUUUUUAAAGAUCUGCAUGUAUGGUCCUACAAUAGGACUGUGUCAUUAUUGUUCAAUUAAUUCAUCAUAAAAAUAGUCUACUUCGCUGUAAAAUUU